rnacentral:rRNA from 1 species
AUUGAACGCUGGCGGCAUGCCUUACACAUGCAAGUCGAACGGCAGCACGGGAGCUUGCUCCUGGUGGCGAGUGGCGAACGGGUGAGUAAUACAUCGGAACGUACCCAGUAGUGGGGGAUAACGCACCGAAAGGUGCGCUAAUACCGCAUACGACCUACGGGUGAAAGCGGGGGACCGUAAGGCCUCGCGCUAUUGGAGCGGCCGAUGUCUGAUUAGCUAGUUGGUGAGGUAAAGGCUCACCAAGGCUUCGAACAGUAGCUGGUCUGAGAGGACGAGCAGCCACACUGGGACGUAGACGCGGCCCAGACUCCUGCGGGAGGCAGCAGUGGGGAAUUUUGGACAAUGGGCGAAAGCCUGAUCCAGCAAUGCCGCGUGUGCGAAGAAGGCCUUCGGGUUGUAAAGCACUUUUGUCAGGGAAGAAAUCUUUUAGGCUAAUACCCUGGAAGGAUGACGGUACCUGAAGAAUAAGCACCGGCUAACUACGUGUCAGCAGCCGCAGUAA